UCCAGUCCCAAGCCAGCAACUCAAGGACGCCUUUGAAAGCUGUGCAGAGACGGAGUGGAAAAGAUGCCUUUCAAAGGAAGAAAUCUUGUUCCAAGGCAACAGUGUUUCUAUCCCCUCCAAGUGUGCUUCAUAAUAAUAAAGUUCCUGAUAAGCUGUGUGCAAAUCGCACUUCUGUAAAUUGGGUCCUACUUCCCCCAUGAUUUACACUUUCCUUUAAGUGCUGAUUUAUCAUCAUUUCUUCCCUUGGCAACCAUCCUUAUGACUUGCCUCUUAGUUCUAGCCUCCCUGGCAGAUAAUUAAUGAGCUCUUAAUACAGCUUAUGGGCACCAGAGGGAACACACACUAUUUAAAGAUGUCUUUCAGGGGAUUUUUUUUUGUGUGUGUAAAGUGAAGAAUCCCAUUGUCAUGAAAAAAAAAUCACAUACAUUUGGCAAAUGUUGCCCUUUUGAACUUGUGGACUAUUCAAAGGCAGAUGAAGAAGUUUGCUUACAUCAUUAUUCAUCAAUAUACAUUGGUGUAGGGUUUAGGUACCCAGUGGUUCUUGAAAGUACUGGGGGUGGAAAACUGUGUUAUUAAAACUUUUGAUUAAUUAAUUGCUUUUCUUGUUUGCUCACUUGUUCAACAAAUACUUACUGAAUACUUAUUAUGUGCCAGGCCCCAUGGAAAUAUAAUAUUAAACUGGAUAGACAUGGUCAUCCUCAUGGCAUCACAGCUUUUUGGGGAGACAGGUAAUGAGCAUGUAAUUAUGCAGAUAACGAGUUCACUACACAUUUGAUAAAUGCUAACAAGGGAUCAACGAGGGGGGCUAAUGAGGCCUGAGCUAGGUAUGGGGAGGGAAAGUGGUCAGGAAAGCUGAGCUCCAAGGUUGAGUUAGAAGUUACCAGGGAAAGGGCACUUCAGGAAGGGAACAGAAUGUGCAAAGUUACCAAGAACAGGAAUAGCUCAGCUCUUUUGAGAAGUGGGAGAAAGACACUGGGUGGAAGAUAAGCCAGUGAGAUUAAUGGGGGCACCAUGGCCGUAGCGCCUAUAUGCUAAGUGUUUUGAAUUGUAUCCUAAGAACAAUGAAUACAUUAUUGAUGCAUUCUAGGCAGGGAAGUGACGUGCUCAGAUACACCCUGUAGAGAGAGAAUAUUGUCUGCAUUGUGGUAAGGAAGGGAUAGGGGAACCUGUUGGGACCCAUAGCUUUUGUCCAGGAUAAAAGAGGUGGUAUUCAGUAGUGAUUUUCAUCAGUGAUAUCCUCCAGGAGAAAUGGGUUGAGGGUGUUAGGAUUCAACUUAGUCCAUUUCACAGAAGAGGAAGAAGAGGUCUAGUAGGAUAAGAAGAGUUAUAGGACUGUCUCUUAGUGGAAGAGGGGCCCCCUCCUGACAAUGCAGCAUCUUCACUGUGGCCCUGAGCUUCACACCAGGGAAGGACUGACUUCCCCAAGAAGGGCACACAUGCAGGCAAUAGCCCGCCAGCCUGCUUUGAAGUUCCUCCAGCAGGCUUUGGAGAAAGAGCUUUCUUCUUGAGUUCUGACUUGGAAAUAGGGAUCAGAAAUGACGGUCUCUGCAAGUGGGUUUGAUAUGGAGAAACUUCUGGACACAGGCCCCAGUCUUCAGUGGAGUGUCUAAGUAUCUCAGGUCCCCAAAACUGGUCUUGAUGGCCCCUCCAUCAGACACCAGCCAGGAGUUGACAAAUGUCAAUGGGCAAAGGUGUCCCUGGGGGAGAAGCUUCUUCAGAAAGCAGAUUCCUGGGCCCUGCUCUCAGGGAUUCUGUUUCAGGAUCUUUGGCUCAUGGCCUGGGAAUCUGAAUUGCAUAACAGGCCCUAUACCCCUCAUUCAUUUUGUCUCCUUGUUUCUAAUAUGGAUGGUCUUUAAAUCAUUUAAAAACUCUGGGAACUGUUGCUCUAGUGAUUUAGGCCUCUAGGAGACUGGCUUGCCUGAGCUCAGCAAAACAUAAUACCUGGUUCUGGGCAAUCACUACCAGUUAGGAAGCUCAGGAGUCUGGGUGGGAUCUUGAAUUGGGGAACAGCUUUGGGCCAAGACUUAACCCCCUUGCUUCCCCAUAUUGCCAGAGAAUCAUCCAGAGCAUUUAUAAACAUGUCCAUUUUUCUCCAGAGAUUCUGAUUCUGUUGUGGUUUUUAGCAAGCGCCCCAGGUGAUUCUUAGGAUUAGGUAGGUUGGGGGCCUUUGCCCUAGAGGCUUCAGGCAGCUUUUGCCCUUAAGGGGCCAUACGGGGCCUCAGGGAUCCUGGGUGUCCUCAGAGGACUGCAGGGAGCUCUGGGAGUGUUCUCUAAUGUGCUCUCCAACUCUCCAUAUCUGCUCUGGGUCUUGGAUUCUUCAUCAGGGCAUCUGGGGACAGUCCUUCAUGUAGGUGGCAAUAAUCUCUGCUGGGGAUCGUUCUUGAGCUUCUUAGGACGAGAAUUCUGUUAGAUUCUGGAUGGGGCCUGAUGUGUCUGCCCAGCUUUGCGGCCAGGCCAAGGGAAAAACCUGUGGAGGCAGGAUACCCAGCUGAAAUGCAUCACUCACUGCCAAAGGUGAACCCGACGCUAGCUUCAGCAAACCUGGGUGGUGAAUGGUUUUAAAACUUUGCUAAAACCAGAAGAGCUGUGUCCACUCAGCAUCAGGUGAAACUGGCCAAAUCGGGGCAGGUGGAUGGGCUUCCUGGGGACAAGGGAGAAAACUCCAUCUUAUUUCUGAGCUCCUUCGGUGGUCAAAGAGGGCCCCUGGAACUGUGUGGGAAAGGUUUGCGGAACUAGAAAUCUCCUCAAGUUCAAAGGAGUUGCAGUUUGUAUGUGAAGUUUAAAUUACACUCGAAGGCAGUGGCUGCAGGGGGAGAGGGCCACUUCAGACACCUGAGCAUGUUAAUAACUGGCUGCCUACCAAGAGCAGCAUCGCGGGUUCCCCUGGGGAUCAUUUGGGCUGUGGAUUUCUGCAGUGCCUAUUUGCUGCCUCGGGAGCUGUUUGAAAGAGGGAUGCUCUGUGCAGAAGACACAGCUCAGAAGAUGGUCCCCAUGCGACUCACAAUGGAAUCCUAAGCACUGGAGGAACUGGAUUAAUAAGAUUCAAGUCUGGAGGAGAAAUUGGGUCACACACAUUCUUGGGAUGUGGGAAAUUGUGCUGUCUAGCUUGGGCACGAUGCAUUUAUGGAGGAGGGGAAGCAGGCCCCUUCUUUGGAAGGAAACAGGGCAGUGUGGAUUGUCCACGUAAGGGGGUGGUUGUCAGGUCUUCAGGUCAGGGCCUAUCUUAGGAUAGCUGGAGCACAGUGGAGCAAGAAGGGUAUGGGUUGCAGUCAGGAAACUCACAUUCAAAUUUUAGCACUACCACCUGCUUGCUACGUGUUAUGGGCUGAACUGUAUCUCCCCACAAUUCAUAUGUUCAAAUCAUAAACCUUAGUACCUCAAGAUGUGACUGCAUUUGGAAAUAGGCCUUUAAAAAGGUGAUUAAGGUAAAAUAAGGUCAUAGAGUGGGCCCUAACCCAUUAAAACUGGUAUCCUUUUAAGAAGAGAUUAGAACACAGACACAUACAGAGGGAAGGCCACGUGAAGACCAAAGAGAAGACAGCCAUCUGCAAACCACAAAGAGAGGCCUCAGAAGAAACCAACCCUGUGACACCUUGACCUAAGAAUUGCAAGAAAAUAAAGUUUUGUUUUUUAAGCCACUUAGUCUUUGUGAUGGCAGCUUGAGCAAAUUAAUACACUACCUGAGUGAUCUUGAGACAGCCGUUUCAUCUCUGCUCCUCAAUUUAUCCAUCUGUAAAGUGAAUAUAACAUUACUCAUCUCAUAGGGUUCUGGAGAGGAGUGAAUGAAAUACUGAAUGUGAAAUGUUCUCUGCAAAUGGCAAGUGCUGAACAAAUGAUUGCUGUGACUUACUGUUUUCCUUGAGAUUGCAUCAUUCUUUCAUCAUUCAUUCUACAAAUAUUACGAGUGCCUAGAAUGUGCAAGAUGGUAUUCUAGGGG
rnacentral:lncRNA from 10 species